CCCCUUCCCUGGGAGAGCGGAAAGGAACCACCCGGUCCCCGAUGGUUCCCGGCGGUCCCCGAUGGUUCCCGGAGCACAGACUCAGCCGGAGAGUCGGGGUAUGCCUCCCCCUGCCCCCAAUCAGCUUGGGGACAGAAGACACUUGGCCAGUGUGGAAUGCUGCUGGACACAUUCAGAGACAUUGAUUGAACAGAAGAAUGACCUGACCAUGUUUGGUUGAGAGAACCCAUUUGCCACUGGAAGAUGAGCACUCUCUAGGCGAGCAGGAGGCUAAGCCUCAGACAUAAGGAGACACGUGACCUUUCUGCAGCUUUUUCACCAUUUCCAGUAAGUCUUCGGUCUUCUUUAAAGACUUGGUCUGACCUGUGGAGAUGAAAACCAGAAUUACAGCAUGCCAUGAGAGUGAGACGGGACUGAGGAAAGGUCCAAACUUUUCUGGGAACGGAGGGAAAAAGCCUCAGUGGGUUCUGAGGACACCCCUGGGCUGAGCCAAGGAUAGGCUGGGGGGCAGAUUUCCAGCCAGAGCAGGGUCCAAGCAGGACCCCUGAUGGUGUGUGCCCGAUGAAUCAAGAACUCCUACAGGUCAGUUUUCCCUGAAAGGUCAUGGAACACCACAGUCAUCCCCUUAACGAAAUCCCAAGGUGAGAGAAGGGGAUGUUCUUUUGCUGCUGCUGUUCAAAAUCAGCACGAAGUUUUAACCAAUGCACUAGGACAGAACGAUAUCAUAUGAAUUUCUUUAAAAUCAUGAUAGGCCACAAUGUGCAAAUUCUUAAAGAACUGAAGGGUCUAGGAAAUGGUUCACUAAUGGCUGCUAACAUCCACACAAGACAACUGGAUAUUCGGAGUCUCCUGAUGGAAGAACACAACACAACCUGUGAAGGAUUUUACUCCCUCACCCCAACACCCCAAAAAGGGUGGGGACUCUUAUCAAGUAAUCAGGUUUCCAUAUCUAAACACCAAUUCAGAGGAACCAUACGAGACAGGAAAACAUGUUAAAUGACACCGUGAGAAUGAAAUCAGCAUCCUCCAGACUCCAGGUGACAGCGUGGGACAACUUGGUUUCUUUGACAAAUAAAUUGCAAAGAAGGAAAAGAGAGAGAGAGGAAACUCUACAGAUUAAAAGAGAUUUGAGGCACUUCAGACUAUACCACAAAGCUAGUCAUCAAAAUGGCAUGGUACUGGCACAAAAACAGACAUAUACAUCAGUGGAAGAGCAUACACAGCCCAGACAAAUACACACACUUAUGGUCAAUUAAUCUACAGCAAGGGAGCCAAGAAUAUACAAUGGAGAAAAGACAGUCUCUUCAAUAAGUGCUGCUGGGAAAACUGGACAGCUACAUGCAAGAGGAUGAAA